AUUCAACUGACGAGUCACAAAUAGGACGAGAUAAGCAUCUUGGAU
rnacentral:hammerhead_ribozyme from 1 species